rnacentral:rRNA from 1 species
GCAUAAAAAAUUGAAUUAUUUUUCAUCUAGAAUUGUCUCUUAUUAAUGAUUCGGAAAUAGAAAAAACUUGGCUAUGUUAUUAUUCUUCGUUGGUUCGUUUAAUGGAAAACACUUUCUUACAAGAAAUAAUUUAAUAAAAUGUUUUUAUCAAUAUAUAUCAGUUAUUAAUUAAUGGCAAGAAAAAGUUAUAUACAACCUCAACUCAUAUGGGACUACCCCCUGAAUUUAAGAAUAUUAAUUAGGGGAGGAAAAGAAACUAACAAGGAUUUUCUUAGUAGCGGCGAGCGAAAAGAAAACAGUUCUGCACUAAUUCACUUUGUCUAUAUGGCAAAUGUGAGAUGUAGUGUAUGGAGCGUGAGUAGUAUGAGAAAUUAACGCUUAUAAGGUGCCAGGCCCGUAUAAAGUUAAUGAUUACUAGAUGAUGUUUCCAAAGAGUUGCUUGAUAGUGCAGCACUAAGUGGGUGGUAAACUCCAUCUAAAACUAAAUAUAACCAUGUGACCGAUAGUAAACAAGUACCGUGAGGGAAAGUUGAAAAGAUCUCUGAAUAGAGAGUUAAACAGUACGUGAAACUGCUUAGAGGUUAAGCCCGAUGAACCUGAAUAUCCGUUAUGGAAAAUUCAUCAUUAAAAUUCUAAUAUUUAAAUAAUAUUAUGAGGAUAGUGUGCAUUUUUUCCAUAUAAGGGCAUUGUAAUCUAUUAGCAUAUACCAAAUAAUUAUCAUUGAUUUUUGUGUGAAAGAUUCAGGAUACCUUCGGGACCCGUCUUGAAACACGGACCAAGGAGUCUAACAUAUGGGCAAGUUAUUGGGAUAUAAACCUAAUAGCGUAAUUAACUUCACUAAUAAUGGGAAUAGUUUAUUAACUAUUUAUAGCCAAUUAACACAAUCCCGGGGAGUUCUAUAUAGUUAUGUAUAAUGUAUAUUUAUAUUAUUUAUGCCUCUAACUGGAACGUACCUUGAGCAUAUAUGCUGUGACCCGAAAGAUGGUGAACUAUACUUGAUCAGGUUGAAGUCAGGGGAAACCCUGAUGGAAGACCGAAACAGUUCUUGCAAAUCGAUUGUCAGAAUUGAGUAUAGGGGCGAAAGACCGAUCGAACGAUCUAGUAGCUGGUUCCUUCCGAAGUUUCACUCAGGAUAGCUGGUGCAUUUUAAUAUUAUAUAAAAUAAUCUUAUCUGGUAAAGCGAAUGAUUAGAGGGCUUAGGGUCGAAACGAUCUUAACCUAUUCUCAAACUUUAAGUGGGUAAGAACCUUAACUUUCUUGAUAUGAAGUUCAAGGUUAUGAUAUAAUGUGCCCAGUGGGCCACUUUUGGUAAGCAGAACUGGCGCUGUGGGAAGAACCAAACGUAAUGUUACGGUGCCCAAAUUAACAACUCAUGCAGAUAACAUGAAAGGCGUUGCUUGCUUAAAACAGCAGGACGGUGAUCAUGGAAGUCAUGCCAUUGGUACAGAUCUUGGUGGUAGUAGUAAAUAAUCGAUAGAAUAAUGUAGGUAAGGGAAGUCGGCAAAUUAAAUCCGUAACUUGGGGAUAACGAUUGGCUCUGAAGAUUGAGAUAGUCGGGCUUGAUUGGGAAACAAUAACAUGGUUUAUGUGCUCGUUCUGGGUAAAUAGAGUUUCUAGCAUUUAUGUUAGUUACUUGUUCCCCGGAUAGUUUAGUUACGUAGCCAAUUGUGGAACUUUCUUGCUAAAAUUUUUAAGAAUAUUUUUUGGGUUAAACCAAUUAGUUCUUAUUAAUUAUAACGAUUAUCAAUUAACAAUCAAUUCAGAACUGGCACGGACUUGGGGAAUCCGACUGUCUAAUUCAAACAAAGCAUUGUGAUGGCCCUAGCGGGUGUUGACACAAUGUGAUUUCUGCCCAGUGCUCUGAAUGUCAAAGUGAAGAAAUUCAAGACUUCAAGAAAUUCCUACUGUCCCUAUCUACUUACUGUCAGUGACGGACGUGUUUUCUACGAGCUCCCAUUAAUAAGGUCAUUUUUGGUGUAAGUCCGCGGUAUGACACCGCCGCACAGGUAGCUGCCAGAAGGCGACUGUCCUCCUGCCAUAGACUGAUCCUGCUUGGAUGUCUAUCGGUAUACCGAACAGUGUUCACCGCGGCACUUCAGGUUCUUGGUGGAGCCCCUCCGCUUGACUUGGCUGCUAAGAAAUUAGCAGUCAAAUACAAGCUGAAGCGUGGAUACCCGCUGGAGGAGAACGACUAGCUCUAUGGCGAGGAGAUUGCACGUCUAAGCCGGGAGCAAAAAGAGAUUCGCCUAGAGGAAUGCGACUAAGGCGACUAAUGCGGCAAUAGCUCACUCCGCCCGUGCUUGUCGGCUAGGUAGAACUCGCUCCUCAGCAAGGGGGAGUGCUUGCCCGGCAAGCAAGUGCUCGAAUUGCUACCGGGGUGGUUGCUAUGUACAUAGCUAUAGCUUCCAGACCGGCACGUUUUGUCUAGCGUAUCUGGACACAUACAUUAUAUGCGCACUUGUGGGUGUAUAGGGUGCCGUGGUUGUAAUCCCUUCAGUGUGGAACACGCCACGUAAAUCAAGUUCGGAGGGAUCCGAUUCAAACCCUGUCCCUAUCUACUAUCUAGCGAAACCACAGCCAUGGGAAAGGGCUUGGAAUAAUUAGCGGGGAAAGACCCUUUUGAGCUUGACUCUAAUCUGGCAGUGUAAGGAGACAUAAGAGGUGUAGAAUAAGUGGGAGAUAUUAGACCUCGGUUUGGUAGCGUCAAUGAAAUACCACUACUCUUAUUGUUUCCUUACUAACUUGAUUCAAUGGAACGUAUAUCAUUUCCUAGCCAUUAUACGGAUAUAUUUAUUAUAUCUUAUGGUAUUGGGUUUUGAUGCAAGCUUCUUGAUCAAAGUAUCACGAGUUUGUUAUAUAAUCGCAAACAAAUUCUUUAAUAAAACGAUGCAUUUAUGUAUUUUUGAUUUGAAAAUUUGGUAUAACUCCAAUUACACAGGUAUGAUUCAAUUCAAGGACAUUGCCAGGUAGGGAGUUUGACUGGGGCGGCACAUCUCUCCAAUAAUAACGGAGGUGUCCCAAGGCCAGCUCAGUGCGGACAGAAACCACACAUAGAGCAAAAGGGCAAAUGCUGACUUGAUCUCGGAGUUCAGUACACACAGGGUCAGCAAAAGCUCGGCCUAUCUUUUGGUUUAAAGAGUUUUUAACAAGAGGUGUCAGAAAAGUUACCAUAGGGAUAUCUGGCUUGUGGCGGCCAAGCGUUUAUAGUGAUCAUUGUGAAGCAAAAUUCACCAAACGUUGGAUUGUUCACCCAUGCAAGGGAAGGUGAACUGGGUUUAGACCGUCGUGAGACAGGUUAGUUUUACCAUACUAAUGACAAAACGUUGUUGCGACAGCAUUCCUGCGUAGUACGAGAGGAACCGCCGGUACGGUCCAAUGGCACAAUACUUGUUCGAGCGAACAGUGGUAUGACGCUAAGUCCGUUGGAUUAUGCCUGAACGCCUCUAAGGUCGUAUCCGUGCUGGACUGCAAUGAUAAAUAAGGGGCAAUUUGCAUUGUAUGGCUUCUAAACCAUUUAAAGUUUAUAAUUUACUUUAUAAACGGCAAUGGAUGUGAUGCCAAUGUAAUUUGUAACAUAGUAAAUUGGGAGGAUCUUCGAUCACCUGAUGCCGCGCUAGUUACAUAUAAAACCAUUAUUU